UACGUAGGGAGCAAGCGUUGUCCGGAUUUAUUGGGCGUAAAGAGCUCGUAGGCGGUUUGGCAAGUCGGGUGUGAAAACUCCGGGCUCAACUCGGAGACGCCACUCGAUACUGCCAUGACUUGAGUCCGGUAGGGGAGUGCGGAAUUCCUGGUGUAGCGGUGAAAUGCGCAGAUAUCAGGAGGAACACCCGUAGCGAAGGCGGCACUCUGGGCCGGAACUGACGCUGAGGAGCGAAAGCGUGGGGAGCGAACAGG
rnacentral:rRNA from 1 species